GUCACCGAGCAGUGACUAAGUUUGUGUUAAAAGCCUUGCAGCCAUUUGCCACAGCAGAUGGUCCAAGCCAGCUCCGAACAGCCAGAACUCUGGUUCAGACUGGUAGAUGUUGUACAGUGUCCUCCAUCGAGAGUGUCGCACAUGAUGCAACCGCCUAUCGAGUAUCCGGCAGCAAACGUCUCUGCAGGACAAUCAGGGCUCUCCCGAACCCAAGCUUCUUGUCGACAGUAGAGUGUCAGUUUCAUUAAUGCUGUUCUUGUUGUGAUUUAUUGAUAAAAAACUGCUGAGUUUAAUUUAACACUUUAUUAUUAUUGAAUGUAAUGAUGAUUGCAGACUGCAUAGAGGAAUAGCAUUAGCAUAGCGAGGGCAUUAGUAUGUUAGCUCUGUUUUCCUUUGACCCUGUGUCGAGGAGGCUGCUGUCAGGAUCUGCAGAUCUGCUGAAAGCAGGAAAAUGUGAAAUGCAAACUCAACACUUUUUCUGUUUAACUCCCUCACAGGAUCUGCUGCUUUGUUUAUUAAUGGUUUGUUUUGUCUUUUUUGUUUCUUACAUGCAUCCUUUCACAGCUCCACACAAGAUUCUGUUUUUUUUUGUUGUUGUUGUUGUUUAUUGCUUCUUUUAUGUUUUGUUAUGUAUCUUUUUCAUCUUUUCUAUUCAAUGAGUUUAGUUGUUAUUUUGCACUUGUUAAGAAGCUCAGGUUUGACAAAAGCAGCUGAAUGAACAUCAGAGAGAGAUUUUUCUGCCUUCUGUCUUUUUAUUCCUUUCUUUUCUUCCCAUUAAAGUGUUUUUUCUUUCUUUCUGAUAAAAGCUCACAGACAAGGAGAGAGAAAAGAGAUAACUCUGUUAUUGUAGCUCUAAGUCUCUCUGACUCUAAAUCUCUUUUAAGAGGAGGUAUAAAACUACCUGACUGCAUCCCUUAUUAGCAUUGCACUGUGUGUGUGUGAGUGUGUGUGUGUUUCCCUGCAUUGCUAUCUUUGUGAGAACCACUCUUAGGACUCUAUCAUCUUUGCAAGGACGUCAAAUACUGUCAUUUUGUCUUUGUUGGUGGUGCCCUGACACAACUGCAAUAAGGAGGAAUAAAAACCCCAUGCACCAAAUCACAAAUCCUCUCUGAUUGGGUAAAUAUAGCUUUUUUCCCCUCACAGGUUAUUUGUACACUAUCUAUACAUGCACUGCCCAAGUUUCACAUCAUAGCUUUCCAACACACUUUGUUUCUGAUUCUUACAGCCAGAAACACUACUGUGUAUUACAUGAUGGAUAAGGUUAACCAAGAAAAACCAGAUCUUUACUUUGACGUUUGUCACAACGAAGUUAAAACUCACAAUCCUUUUUGCUAAGUGUAAUUUGCUGACUUUUAGCAUUUAUUGUGUUAGAACAGUGUAGAGGAGACAGGAAAGCUGAGGAGAGAGAACAGAGAGACAGAUGCAGCAGAUGCCCUCAUGGCGGAUUUAAACUCGGCUUAUGGCAUAUGGGUCACUUGCUCAACCCAGUGAGCUAAACCAUUGCCCAAAACAUAUGAUCCUUAAUGCUGUGCUUUUAUAACUGCUACAACUUGACUUGAGAAAAUGCCUUGUUGAUUCUACAGGUCAGAUGAGAAUGGCCAGACUCCUUCCAGCUGACAGGAAGUUGACAGUAACUCAAAUAACGACUCAUUACAUGCAUCCUUUGUCCCAUAUCCACUAUCCCUCCUCUGCAUAUGUACAAUGAUCUGAACCUUGUCUCUCUAAGUUUGUCUCCAAACUAUUCAACUUGAGCUGACCCUCUGAAGUGUACUCAUCUCUAAUCCUGUCCAUCCUGGUUACUUCCACCUACAAUUUGAGCAUCUUUAACUCUGCUGCACACAUCUCCUGUCUUUUGAUUAGUACUGCUUCUCUGGUGUAUGUAAAAUCCUCAGUGUUGACAAGAAGACAUUUACUAGAAUAUUUUAUAUUGUAGAACAAAGCACAAAACAUCUCAAGUUCAUGUUAACACAGACCUCAUUUUAGGCAUAAAAAACUGUUUAAAAAACCUGAUGAAUUUGAGAGAAGGAAAGCUGGAGUGCAAAGUGUAAACUCAUUUCCAUGGUUUAUCACUCAUUCCUGCAGCAUUAUAAAAGAACAUUCUCCUUCUGAUUUCUCCACAGCUUUCUUUCAGUACUGUGUCUUUUCCCUGUCAAUGUGUGGGUAGAUACUUACCUAGUCUCUUUGUGUUACCUUGAGUUGUGAUGAGGUGGAUUAGAAAUUCUGCUUGAGUCUACAUAGGUCAGGUAGGGUCUUGUUUAACAGCUUUAGGUCUUCUGUUUCAAUAUGUCCGAUACCUGAGUGGAUAAAAUGGAUGUGAAUUAAUAUCUGACAAGAUUAUAAGAUCUGAACCUUAAGUUGUAUCAUUCUGUCUUCCGUGGAUGCUGUUGUCACUAUUAUAUUUCUGCUUUUACCAGUAUAGAUGCUUGUUUGUCAAUUGAAUUGUUGUGAAUUGAAUUGAAUCUAAUUAAAAUUGAAUCAGGUUGAAAAACUCC